rnacentral:lncRNA from 1 species
AAUAAAAAUAUUUCAAUCACUCAAACUAUAAUAUAACAGUCAUCGAGAUUAUAAUAAUUAUUUAAGUCACCAAAUUAAAAUAAUAGUUCAAUACAAAAAUUGUCCUGAAUACAACAAUGAUACAAAUCAAACAUGAAUUAAAUAAAAUGAAUGGAAAAUGCCAGAAAUUACUGCCCAUGCCUUUGCCAAUGGUGCUCAAUGAGAUCCUCCUGAAGCUGAUAGUGGGAAAAUACAGAUGUUGUUAAUAUCGAUCAUAACAUGAACAUCUUCCUAACAAAUAAUACUCCAAUAUAUAUCUAGCACAUGACACUUUGUCAAUUUUCCUUGCAACGUUUAUAUUACGCAUAAAUUAUUGGUUAACAUGUCAGAUCCUAUAAGAAACCAAUUUUAGCCAGCGAAUUUAGAUGUACCGGUUGUCAGCUUAUGUGACUUAGAGCAACUCUAGCAGAUCCUUU